AUGUAUGACUGUUGGUAUGAUGUUCUUUUUAUGAAAUGCUGUGUUGGUUUUACACCAGAUGUAAUGGGACACACACCUUCCAAAAAGUUCAACUUUUGUUGCAUAAGUCCACAGAAUAUUUGCCCGAAAGUCUUGGCCUAUCAGGAAAUUUUAAAACUUGUGAUUUCAGUCUUUUAAAAACAGUUUUUAUAUUUUCAAAAAAAUGUUUAUUAAAAAAUGCUAGGCUAUAUAUAUGUGUCUAUAAAAACCCUUUAGAAUAGAAUAGAAUAGACUAGAAUAGAAUAGAAUGUGAAUUUAUGCACUUUUCUGUUAUGUUCUAUUAUGCAUAUGCUUAUGAUGUCCAAAAAAGACACAUGUAUAAAACAAAAAUUAUUAAAUGUAAAAAUUAGUGCAUGAGAUAACAACCAUCCAUAAAUUGUAUAAAAAUAUAUAAAUAUAAAACAAUGUAUAACAUAUUUUACUGCACGUUUACUAUUUUUCAUACUUCACUGUAUUCUUUAAUGCAUCAUAAAUGCUGUCUAAGUGGGCAGCUCAUAUGGUUUGAGACGCAGCCAAUGUUUUUACAAAUGUUUCCAAAUCUCAUCAGUAGAGUAUCUGCUCACAUCUGAAUGAGCACAACCGACGCAACACAUUCCAGAUACAAUUCAUUUCAGGAAUGUCUGUAAACUGCGCGACCACCCUCUUGUCGUAGGAAAGACAAAGCGCGUGAUGCGAGAGGACAGGACAGUGAAGAGUUAACCAUUACCGCUGUCUUUGGGGAGAUGGUGAUGUAAACCCUAAACCAUGUGACACUUUAAUAAAUCAUAGCGCCGACAGAAACAAACACACACUGUUCCAUCGACAGCCGAACAAAACACCAUUCUCCACGUCUAAACAAAGAUUGCAGAGGGCAAAGAGACUAGCUAGAGAGCGCACGAGAGGAGACGAUGUGCUGUCUGCCGGUGGAGCAGACUUUAGGUGAGCUCGGAGAUUCCGUGUGCGCGCACGGAUGCGCUCCGCUGCCGUUUGCGCACCGACUGCGCUGGAUCGGAGACCAGCUGGAGAAGAGAUGGGCUGCAAACGACAAAAGCUCCGACGGUGGACGACGAGGCGUCGGGGAAAACAUCAUCAAAAGCUUCCACAUAGUGUGCACAGUCAUUCAAGUAACGCUUCUGGUGUUUUUAGUCAAAAAGCGACACCUGUAGGUGAGACGAGGCUCUGCUGAUCUACAGCAACAGAUCUUCAGAUACACCUGGGAUGAUCCGCUCCAGAUUUACUGGAGAGGAGAAGGUGCCGGUCAUGUCUGCACUCUGUAGAAACUUGCCAUGCAAACAGUGGGUCAAUGUUUUCUCAUCCAUGUAUAUCACAACAUCUGCAGUAGUGUUGUAAUGGAAACACGCAAACACCAGACGCAUCUGUGCUGUACAUUGCAAGCGUGCUGAUCACUUUUCAUAACGACCGAUGCUUCAUCCUGAAGUCUUCUUGAUUAUCGAAGCACCACAAGCCAAUGUCAUAAUGGUACGUGUUUGUUUGGUUAGAAGUCUUAAGGUCAGUGCAGUCAAACCCACGGUGUCUCCUGGGAAAUCUUUCAAAAUAAAAGGCUGAUGUCAUUGUCCCUUGGCGUUUGCAAGGAAAUUUUUCUACCACUAUGGCAAUAGGAGCCUUGCCUCAACUUGGAUGAGCUUACAGUUGUUGGUAAAAGUUGAGAGGGUGCUUCGGAUAUGCAAAAGCUGUAAAUGAUUAAAACACGAACAAUCAAGGUCUAUCUUCAGAGGGGAGCUACCAAAAACACUGCUACCAAAACCUCUCCUCUGCAUAAUGCACUGUAACAUUUAGUUAUAAGCUACUGUAAGUGACUAUGCCAUUCAAUAUCUGAGCUGUGAUUUUGUUUCUUUGUUGUUUUUAUGAGAUAUUUAUUAUGUUCUUUGUCCUUAACGCUGUACUCUUCUCAAUGGAAAGCAUAUUUACACUGUAGAAUGAUUUUAAGUGUAUUUGAACUUGAUGUUUACAAAUGAAGACAACUUUUUUUUUUUAGACUUUUUAUGAAGGGCUUCUGGCUUGAUUGUUUGUGUCAGUGUUAAUAUAGAAAUGUGACAUGAAUGAGAUUUCAUGCGAAAUGUGAAUCAAAGGGCAUGCUACUGAUGUUUACAUAAGCUACAAUCUUUUAUAGUUUAUGUUUCGACCACGUGUUUUAAACAUGUUUUACCUCUGCUAUUUUGAUAUUGUGAAUUUGGUCAUUUAUGAAAAUAAAAGACUUUAAAUAUA